UUUAUUAGGUAAUUUGGGCGUAUUUAUUCAAGCAAAAUCGAGGCUGAUGGAUACGCUUGUGACGUGAAAUUUGUGAAUCGAUUUCAAGGCUUUUUCUGUUUCCGAUUUAAUUUUCUCUGAGGAAUAGCCUGGUGUUAUGCUUAAAGCUGAAAUUGGAGAAUCGGGGAUUCUAGUGAUUGGGGUUUUCAUUGCCUUUGUUUUUUGGACUAUUGGGACUAUUAUGAGGAAUAGCAGUGAUGGGCAGCAUCAGCAGAAGAAGAAUUCGCAGGGGCG
rnacentral:misc_RNA from 1 species